rnacentral:rRNA from 1 species
AUUGUUGGCCGGUAUGAAUGGCGUCACGAAGGCCCCACUGUCUUAAGAGGACUCUCCAUGAAAUUGAAUUCGUAGUGAAGAUGCUACGUCCAUAUUGUAAGACGAAAAGACCCCAUUGAGCUUUACUAAAGACUUGCAUGGCUCAAAAAAAAAAAAAAUUUGAUUUAAAUAAAGAGUUUAGAUAAUGUGGGAUCCGUUUCCGGUUAAUGAAACACCACUCUUUUAUUUUAAAAGAGCUAACAUUGCAGGGAUAAUGUAAGUUGGAUAGUUUGGUUGGGGCGACCACCUUUUAAAAGGUAACGAAGGUGAGCUUAAGGUCCGUAGUUAAUAGCCGGUGGCCUGACUGCAAGGGGGACGUCUCGAGCAGACACGUCCUUAGGGAUGUGGGCUAUAGGACCCGUCU